rnacentral:rRNA from 1 species
UACGUAGGGGGCUAGCGUUGUCCGGAAUCAUUGGGCGUAAAGCGCGUGUAGGCGGUUCGGUAAGUCCGCUGUGAAAGUCGGGGGCUCAACCCUCGGAUGCCGGUGGAUACUGUCGGACUAGAGUACGGAAGAGGCGAGUGGAAUUCCUGGUGUAGCGGUGAAAUGCGCAGAUAUCAGGAGGAACACCAAUUGCGAAGGCAGCUCGCUGGGACGUAACUGACGCUGAGACGCGAAAGCGUGGGGAGCAAACAGG